AGCCACGUUGUCGAUAGGUAGACUCAACGUUAAAAUCUUUUUCCGAGACAAGCUUCUCCUCCAAUGGCGUGUCGUAAUCCUCUUGAGGAUAUGCGAAUUACAAAGGUUGAGGAGCACUCAAAUCCUGUCAUUCGGAGUUUUCACUUUUAUCGCUCGUGGCUUUUUAU
rnacentral:sRNA from 1 species